GUCCCGCUAUGCAAAUUCAAAAUUAUUAUCAUUAUUCAUUUCUUUAGAAAUUGAUUGUUUUCACAGUCAAUGAACAUGAAAAUAUUUGCAUAGCGGGACCAAAUAGUCGGGCUGGCUACGCUACUGGUCACACUGACAAGUCAGUGGAAACAAAAUAUAAUGUAUAGUGGUCUAUACAUCCUAUUUUAUGUGAGAUUAAAAAUUAUAUAAAAUAAAAUGACCUACUACCAGAUAAAAUCCUCUAGAAUAAACAUGGGUGGGUGGGGUGGGUAGGGGAAAGGUAUCUAAGCGCUAAACUUGUUGCAGCUAGGCAAAGCAUACAAUGGCAGUAUGAAUAUCCAGACCGACGCACUGAUCACAAGGCGCGAAACAACCCCCUUUAAUCGAUAUGACGUCACAGACUCCCAUCAGUGGAUGUGGCCUGCAUAGUACAUUCGCUGUUAACCUUGCUUAAAUGUAUUUAACCACAUCAAGAUAGCUGAUGUAAUAAUACAUUGUCAAUUUAUCUCUGCAAUCAGUAAAGACUGAUUUGCAUACAGCACACAGAAGACAAGAUAAAUCCAGACUAUUUCACACCAGUGACCAUGAUUUAGUCGCAAUUAGUUUGCAAGCCUUUUUAUGUACGAUUACGCAAAAGGAAAUUUACCUACCUUUUUUGACAACUAUUUCACUUUGAAUAGCGAAAUUCAUAAGCAUAAUACAAGAAGUACAAAUUUGAUCCAUAAAAAAGGCAAUAGAACAAAUUAUGGAAUGUUUUCAAUAAAAUAUACGGGAAUAGAAAUAUGGAAUGGAAUACCAAAAAAAUAAAAGAUUCAUGUACAAAAAAGAAAUUCAAAACGAAAUGAAAAUAUAUUUGUUGUCUCAAGACAAACUAUAACGUCAUGUUAUAUAGAAUAAAAUUAGAAACAUAAUGAUUAGUGUACACUAGGGAAUAAAAAACAACUUUUAGAGUACGAUUAUAUAGAAUGUAUUUAGUAAUUGUUCCGCAUAUAAUUUAACUAUAUGUACUCCAAUUGAACUGAUGAACCGCAAUGUUUACCUGAUAGAUAUUAGAAAUAGACAUAUAUUAACAUUAUAGCUAAGUAUUAUCUCAAGGAGGACUACUGGCAAAAGCCUUUUGGGUUUAUUAUAGUCCUUCUUCCAAAUAUGUAAACAUAAAUAAAUAUUAUAACUCGGGAAAUGUAAUGUAUUAUAAACAUACUUGGAAAUAAAUUCAAUUCAAUUCAAUUCAAUUACAA